CAAGUCGAACGAUGAAGCCUUUCGGGGUGGAUUAGUGGCGAACGGGUGAGUAACACGUGGGCAAUCUGCCCUUCACUCUGGGACAAGCCCUGGAAACGGGGUCUAAUACCGGAUAACACUCUGUCCUGCAUGGGACGGGGUUAAAAGCUCCGGCGGUGAAGGAUGAGCCCGCGGCCUAUCAGCUUGUUGGUGGGGUAAUGGCCUACCAAGGCGACGACGGGUAGCCGGCCUGAGAGGGCGACCGGCCACACUGGGACUGAGACACGGCCCAGACUCCUACGGGAGGCAGCAGUGGGGAAUAUUGCACAAUGGGCGAAAGCCUGAUGCAGCGACGCCGCGUGAGGGAUGACGGCCUUCGGGUUGUAAACCUCUUUCAGCAGGGAAGAAGCGAAAGUGACGGUACCUGCAGAAGAAGCGCCGGCUAACUACGUGCCAGCAGCCGCGGUAAUACGUAGGGCGCAAGCGUUGUCCGGAAUUAUUGGGCGUAAAGAGCUCGUAGGCGGCUUGUCACGUCGGAUGUGAAAGCCCGGGGCUUAACCCCGGGUCUGCAUUCGAUACGGGCUAGCUAGAGUGUGGUAGGGGAGAUCGGAAUUCCUGGUGUAGCGGUGAAAUGCGCAGAUAUCAGGAGGAACACCGGUGGCGAAGGCGGAUCUCUGGGCCAUUACUGACCCUGAGGA
rnacentral:rRNA from 1 species